GCUGGCGGUGCGCCUUAUGCAUGCAAGUCGAGCGAAGCUUUUCAGUAGUUUACUACAGAAAUGACUGAGCGGCGAACGGGUGAGUAACGCGUGAGCAAUCUACCUUAGUUACAGGGAUAGCCCGAGGAAACUCGGAUUAAUACCUGAUAUUCUUUAUUUCUCGCAUGAGAAUAAAAGGAAAGGUCAGCCGAACUAAGAUGAGCUCGCGUUCUAUCAGCUAGUUGGUGAGGUAAAAGCUUACCAAGGCUACGACGGAUAGCUGGUCUGAGAGGACGAUCAGCCACACUGGGACUGAGACACGGCCCAGACUCCUACGGGAGGCUGCAGCAGGGAAUAUUGUGCAAUGAACGAAAGUUUGACACAGCGACACCGCGUGUGGGAUGACGGAUCUAGGUUUGUAAACCACUUUCAGGAGGGAAGAAAAUGACGGUACCUCCACAAGAAGCCCCGGCCAACUACGUGCCAGCAGCCGCGGUAAUACGUAGGGGGCGAGCGUUGUCCGGAUUUAUUGGGCGUAAAGAGCUCGUAGGCGG
rnacentral:rRNA from 1 species